rnacentral:rRNA from 1 species
GUCCACGCCGUAAACGAUGUCAACUAGUUGUUGGGUUCCUUGAGGACUUAGUAACGCAGCUAACGCAUUAAGUUGACCGCCUGGGGAGUACGGCCGCAAAGGUUAAAAACUCAAAAUGAAAUUGACGGGGGCCCGCACAAAGCGGUGGAGCAUGUGGUUUUAAAUUCGAAAGCAAACGCGAAAGAACCUUACCUGGCCUUGACAUGCUGAGAACUUUCCAGAGAUGGAUUGGUGCCUUCGGGAACUCAGACACAGGUGCUGCAUGGCUGUCGU